GCGCCUGUAGCUCAAUGGAUAGAGUACUGCCCUCCGAAGGCAGGGGUUGCUGGUUCGAUCCCAGCCGGGCGCACCA
rnacentral:tRNA from 1 species